rnacentral:misc_RNA from 1 species
UCUCCGUAGGUGAACCUUCGGAGGGAUCAUUACUGAGUGAGGGCUCCGGCCCGACCUCAAACCCCAUGUGAACCGAAACCUGUUGCUUCGGGGGCGACCCUGCCUUCGUGCGAGGCGCCCCCGGAGGCUAAUCAAACCCUGCGUAACUAAGUUGUCGGAGUUUAAACAAAUUAAACAAAACUUUCAACAACGGAUCUCUUGGUUCGGGCAUCGAUGAAGAACGCAGC